CGAACGGGGAAAGCGCUUCCGAAACCUAGUGGCGGACGGGUGAGUAACGCGUGAGUACCUGCCUUUCAGAGGGGAAUAACGUUCUGAAAAGAACGCUAAUACCGCAUAACACCGCAUGGUCAAAGGAGCAAUCCGCUGAAAGAUGGACUCGCGUCCGAUUAGCUAGUUGGUGGGGUAAAGGCCUACCAAGGCGACGAUCGGUAGCCGGACUGAGAGGUUGAACGGCCACAUUGGGACUGAGACACGGCCCAGACUCCUACGGGAGGCAGCAGUGGGGGAUAUUGCACAAUGGGGGAAACCCUGAUGCAGCAACGCCGCGUGUGGGAAGAAGGUUUUCGGAUUGUAAACCACUGUUCUUGGUGAAGAUUGACGGUAACCAAGGAGAAAGCUCCGGCUAACUACGUGCCAGCAGCCGCGGUAAUACGUAGGGAGCAAGCGUUGUCCGGAUUUACUGGGUGUAAAGGGUGCGUAGGCGGCUAGGCAAGUCAGACGUGAAAACCAUGGGCUCAACCUGUGGACUGCGUUUGAAACUGUUUAGCUUGAGUGAAGUAGAGGUAGGCGGAAUUCCCGGUGUAGCGGUGAAAUGCGUAGAGAUCGGGAGGAACACCAGUGGCGAAGGCGGCCUACUGGGCUUUAACUGACGCUGAGGCACGAAAGCAUGGGUAGCAAACAGGAUUAGAUACCCUGGUAGUCCAUGCCGUAAACGAUG
rnacentral:rRNA from 1 species